rnacentral:rRNA from 1 species
AACGAACGCUGGCGGCAUGCCUAACACAUGCAAGUCGAACGAGACCUUCGGGUCUAGUGGCGCACGGGUGCGUAACGCGUGGGAAUCUGCCCUAGGGUGCGGAAUAACUCGGAGAAAUCCGUGCUAAUACCGCAUAAUGUCUUCGGACCAAAGAUUUAUCGCCCUGGGAUGAGCCCGCGUAGGAUUAGCUAGUUGGUGGGUAAAGGCCUACCAAGGCGACGAUCCUUAGCUGGUCUGAGAGGAUGAUCAGCCACACUGGGACUGAGACACGGCCCAGACUCCUACGGGAGGCAGCAGUGGGGAAUAUUGGACAAUGGGCGAAAGCCUGAUCCAGCAAUGCCGCGUGAGUGAUGAAGGCCCUAGGGUUGUAAAGCUCUUUUACCCGGGAUGAUAAUGACAGUACCGGGAGAAUAAGCUCCGGCUAACUCCGUGCCAGCAGCCGCGGUAA